GAUGAAGAACGUAGCGAAAUGCGAUACUUGGUGUGAAUUGCAGAAUCCCGUGAACCAUCGAGUCUUUGAACGCAAGUUGCGCCUCAAGCCAUUAGGUUGAGGGCACGUCUGCCUGGGUGUCACAUAUCGUUGCCUGAUGCCAGUUUCCUCGUGAUGGGUGACUGUGCAGGGCGAAUGAUGGCUUCCCGUGAGCAUUGUUGCCUCAUGGUUGGUUGAAAAUUGAGUCCUUGGUAGGGAGCGCCGUGAUAGAUGGUGGUUGAGUGACGAACGAGACCCAAUCAUGUGAGACCCCUACCGAAUUUGGCCUUCAUGACCCACAUGCGUCUUUGGAACGCUCAUGACGAGACCUCAGGUCAGGCGGGGCUACCCGCUGAGUUUAAGCAUAUCAAUAAGCGGAGGA
rnacentral:misc_RNA from 1 species